rnacentral:rRNA from 1 species
GAUGAACGCUGGCGGCGUGCCUAAUACAUGCAAGUCGAGCGAACGGACGAGAAGCUUGCUUCUCUGAUGUUAGCGGCGGACGGGUGAGUAACACGUGGAUAACCUACCUAUAAGACUGGGAUAACUUCGGGAAACCGGAGCUAAUACCGGAUAAUAUUUUGAACCUCAUGGUUCAAAAGUAAAAGACGGUCUUGCUGUCACUUAUAGAUGGAUCCGCGCUGCAUUAGCUAGUUGGUAAGGUAACGGCUUACCAAGGCAACGAUGCAUAGCCGACCUGAGAGGGUGAACGGCCACACGGGCACUGAGACACGGUCCAGACUCCUACGGGAGGCAGCAGUAGGGAAUCUUCCGCAAUGGGCGAAAGCCUGACGGAGCAACGCCGCGUGAGUGAUGAAGGUCUUCGGAUCGUAAAACUCUGUUAUUAGGGAAGAACAUAUGUGUAAGUAACUGUGCACAUCUUGACGGUACCUAAUCAGAAAGCCACGGCUAACUACGUG